rnacentral:rRNA from 1 species
CCUACGGGAGGCAGCAGUGGGGAAUUUUGGACAAUGGGCGCAAGCCUGAUCCAGCCAUGCCGCGUGCGGGAAGAAGGCCUUCGGGUUGUAAACCGCUUUUGUCAGGGAAGAAACGGUUUGGGCUAAUACCUCGAACUAAUGACGGUACCUGAAGAAUAAGCACCGGCUAACUACGUGCCAGCAGCCGCGGUAAU